UCCUACGGGAGGCAGCAGUGGGGAAUAUUGGACAAUGGGGGCAACCCUGAUCCAGCAAUACCGCGUGUGUGAAGAAGGCCUGAGGGUUGUAAAGCACUUUCAAUUGUGAAGAAAAGCUAGUGGUUAAUAGCCAUUAGCCUUGACGUUAACUUUAGAAGAAGCACCGGCUAACUCCGUGCCAGCAGCCGCGGUAAU
rnacentral:rRNA from 1 species